rnacentral:rRNA from 1 species
AUGGCCGGCGACGAUCGCCUGUCCGACCUCCCCGACGACCUGCUACGGUGCAUCCUCAACUUCGCGCCGGCGAAGGAGGGCGCUAUGACCAGCGCGCUCGCGCGGCGGUGGCGAUCGCUCUGGCCCUCCUACGGCACCGUCAACCUCGACUCACGCUCCUACGACCACCUGGACAGCUAUCUUAGGCGCCUUGCUAUUGUGCGCGACGCCAAGAAUUCUCUCGCCGCAGCCGACGGCGGCGGUUUCCCGGUGACGAAGCUCACCUUCUGGUACGUGGAAGGAGCGGACGACCCGUUGGGCUCCGGUAAUAUCGGCAGUUACUACGACGACAUGCACGAGGGGCUACGCGAUAUGUCCGAAGACCUCAGGGCCAUGCUCUACGGCCCGGCGUCCCGCCACUUGGAGGAACUCCGUCUCGGGCUCUUCUUCGGUCCGCGCCACGAAGAGGAGACGUACGAUCUUAGUAUCCCCGACCUGUCGUCGUCGCCGGUCCUCCGCGUGCUGCACCUCAGCCAGUGGGCGCCGAUGGAGACGGUCCGUGAGUGGGGCCCUCGCAGGUCCUACAGGACACCCUCGUUCCCGCGGCUGGUGGAGCUACGGCUGCACCUGUGCUGGGUGUUGCUCCAUGUACUCCAGGGCGCCAUCGACGCCGCGCCUCUGCUCGCAACUCUGCAGCUCGACGGCGUCGACAUCUGUUUACGACCAAUGAAGGACCCCCCAGCUACACGUUCCCUCCAUCUCCGCUGCCCCAAGGUCACCAGCCUCGUGCUAGUAGAUUUCAAGUGCUGGGGCCGUCAAGGGAAGAACACCAUGGAGCUCGACGCUCCGCUGCUGCGAUGCUUCGCCUACAAGGGGCCUCCCCGGUCAUUGUCGUUCAAAUUACGGCCGCCGGACAUGACACGGGUUGAUUUGAGCUUCCAAGUUCCAGCUGCUCAAGUUGGUACAGACAACAGAAUGUGCCGACUCUUCUGGAAAUUUAUUCACAACUUCAGCGGUGCAAACACCCAUGGCGGCCCUCCACCGUCCCCAGCAUUCAACACCACGACCACUCCUCCCAACCGUGGCGGCUACUCUGCCAACAUGCCUCUCCACGUCUCGUCUGGAGACGACGGACCUGCUGUACAGGGGCAUCCCGUCAUCACCAUCUCAUCCGACAGUGACUCAGCCCCACCAUCGCAGAUGGCGUCGCCUCCCGCGGCGUUCUCUGCCUCAACCGACAUCGGCUCGUCCAUCACGCCAGCCAUCAUCAGCCGCCCAUUGCCACGCCCCGUCGCUGCUGUCGGUGGGAUCAUGCUGACCCCGCCACCCUCCUCUCCGGACGACCACAACAAGGACAGCCUCGACGAUCUCCCUCCUCCCAAUGCCGUGCAGCUGCCGUCGGCGUUCAGCCCGUACGACAGCUCCAACUCACCAGGCCUUGACAUUGACGUCUCCAGCAUUGCCUUUGCUGCUGGGGCGUCCUCCUCUGGUACGGCCUCCGCACAGCCUUGUCUCCCCCCCUCCCUGGUAUUUCAACCCGACCACAGCCUAACCAUGGUCACCCCCGCAACAAAAUCUGCAGACCCUCACCUCCAUGAGUGCGUGCUUCGCAAGCUGCGCCACAAUGCCAAGCGCUCAGCGGACAAGUCCAUGAGCCUUCGCCGAAGCUCUCGCCUGGCUGCCAAAGAGCCAAGGGUCUUCACUAACAUGGCCACUAAAGCCAUCCGCGCCAGAGCUAAGCGCCUCACUUCCACAGACGUCGCGAAGGCGCUCAAAGACGCCAUCCACGAUGCAUAG